rnacentral:rRNA from 1 species
AUUGAACGCUGGCGGCAUGCCUUACACAUGCAAGUCGAACGGUAACAGGUCUUCGGAUGCUGACGAGUGGCGAACGGGUGAGUAAUACAUCGGAACGUGCCCGAUCGUGGGGGAUAACGGAGCGAAAGCUUUGCUAAUACCGCAUACGAUCUACGGAUGAAAGCAGGGGGCCGCAAGGCCUUGCGCGGACGGAGCGGCCGAUGGCAGAUGAGGUAGUUGGUGGGAUAAAAGCUUACCAAGCCGACGAUCUGUAGCUGGUCUGAGAGGACGACCAGCCACACUGGGACUGAGACACGGCCCAGACUCCUACGGGAGGCAGCAGUGGGGAAUUUUGGACAAUGGGCGCAAGCCUGAUCCAGCCAUGCCGCGUGCAGGAUGAAGGCCUUCGGGUUGUAAACUGCUUUUGUACGGAACGAAAAGGUCUUUUCUAAUAAAGAAGACUGAUGACGGUACCGUAAGAAUAAGCACCGGCUAACUACGUGCCAGCAGCCGCAGUAAUAC